UAGGGAAUCUUCCACAAUGGACGCAAGUCUGAUGGAGCAACGCCGCGUGAGUGAAGAAGGUUUUCGGAUCGUAAAGCUCUGUUGUUGGUGAAGAAGGAUAGAGGCAGUAACUGGUCUUUAUUUGACGGUAAUCAACCAGAAAGUCACGGCUAACUGCGUGCCAGCAGCCGCGGUAAUACGUAGGUGGCAAGCGUUGUCCGGAUUUAUUGGGCGUAAAGCGAGCGCAGGCGGAAUGAUAAGUCUGAUGUGAAAGCCCACGGCUCAACCGUGGAACUGCAUCGGAAACUGUCAUUCUUGAGUGCAGAAGAGGAGAGUGGAAUUCCAUGUGUAGCGGUGGAAUGCGUAGAUAUAUGGAAGAACACCAGUGGCGAAGGCGGCUCUCUGGUCUGCAACUGACGCUGAGGCUCGAAAGCAUGGGUAGCGAACAGG
rnacentral:rRNA from 1 species